rnacentral:rRNA from 1 species
UACGGAAGGGACAAGCGUUGUUCGGAAUUACUGGGCGUAAAGGGCGCGUAGGCGGUUCGGUAAGUCCUGUGUGAAAUCCCUCGGCUCAACUGAGGAACUGCACGGGAGACUGCCGGGCUUGAGUUCGGGAGAGGGAAGCGGAAUUCCGGGUGUAGCGGUGAAAUGCGUAGAUAUCCGGAGGAACACCGGUGGCGAAGGCGGCUUCCUGGACCGACACUGACGCUGAGGCGCGAAAGCUAGGGGAGCAAACGGG